GGGGGCGCGCGGAGAGCUGCCGGAGCAGAGCGGAGCGCAGGCAUCUUCCGCAAUCCAUUCAUGCACUGAAGCGCGUGCAGAGCUGCUGCUCGCUGCCAUUGUUACUCGCGGGCGGUGUGGGAGCCGAGCCUCCACUCUGGCGAGAUAAAUGGCCUCUGACAGCCCCUCCUCGCCAAGAGAGCUCCUCGGAUUUCACAGCGCAGCGGCUCUCAGGUCUGUGCCUCGCUCGCUUCCCGGUCCGGGGUGGACUGCAUCUUCAAGCUUCCCGAUUUCCCGCCGGUCGGCUCUGCCGCUGCGUCCCACGUUAGCUUGUGGCACACCCGUCGAUGGGAACUUGACCAUAGCAGGACGAUAGAGGCCCAGUCGUGGUGACUCCACUGCCCCCCUCUCCUUCGAGGUCUCCCUCAAGGUCCUGGGCUGGAUCAGACUCGAGACACCCCCCCCCCCCCACACACACACCCCGUCCAGGUCCGAUUCUCGCUGAUGCCCAGGGGAGGGCGGGAAAUAAACAGAUUGGAGCCCCCUGAGUUUGGGUGGCCACUAAAGCCUGGGCUGGGGUUUCUGCCUCUGAGGGGCCUGGACCGUUUGUGCCUUUGCUCACCUGCCCAAGUCCUCCUCAGAAGCUUUGAUCCACUCUAAGCGUGCCCCCCACCCUGCGCCUGAAUCUGAAAGUAAGGUUGUGGCUGCUAGGACCAAAACCUGGCAGGAGGCAGCGAAGAGAUUGGGGCUUGGGGAGGGUGGCACCCGGGCUUAGUGUAGGUCACACUUGGAUGUGGAGACAGAUCUUUGCUCCUUUGGCGAGUUUGGGCCUGGGAUCUUUAAGGCUCAGCCCAACCAGAUGGGAGAGGUGGGGGGAGGG
ensembl:lncRNA